GGCCCCUGAAUGGCCCCUGUACCGUCAAUCAUCAGUAAAUGUCAAACUUGUUGAGAACGAUGAUCAGAGAUGCAAUUCCAUUCCCAAACAACUGGUGGCAGUAAUGCACCUUUUGAAGCUUGAAAGCUAAAGCACACAAAGAACUGCUUAGGUCUGUGCACGAAAGAAAGAAUACAUUUGGCUAACCAGAGAACUCUCUGUGAAGAACUGAUACAUUUGGCUAACGAAAGUAUCAGCUAGCGUGAAGAACCGAUCAAUGGCAGCGUUUCAUCCUCCACAGAAGUUUCUUGACUGGGAUGGCGUAGGCUCAGAUUGGAGCUGGUGACUUUAACCCACAGUCUUCAGAACCACCAGAGUCACCAAGCAAAGCUGCUCCUAAUGACCCCAUCGUCUGUCUUAAAAUCAGAAUCAGACUUUUGUAACUGGAAGCAAGACGGUGAUUCAAAGACCAUUCCAAAUCAGACCAUUGU